rnacentral:rRNA from 1 species
AGAGUUUGAUCCUGGCUCAGGAUGAACGCUAGCGGCAGGCCUAACACAUGCAAGUCGAGGGGUAGGGGGGGCUUGCUCCCUUGAGACCGGCGCACGGGUGCGUAACGCGUAUGCAAUCUACCUUGUACAGGGGAAUAGCCCAGGGAAACUUGGAUUAAUGCCCCGUAGUCUAUAUUGAGAGCAUUUGAGAUAUAGUAAAGAUUUAUCGGUACAAGAUGAGCAUGCGUACCAUUAGCUAGUUGGUGUGGUAACGGCACACCAAGGCUACGAUGGUUAGGGGCCCUGAGAGGGGGAUCCCCCACACUGGUACUGAGACACGGACCAGACUCCUACGGGAGGCAGCAGUGAGGAAUAUUGGACAAUGGGCGGGAGCCUGAUCCAGCCAUGCCGCGUGCAGGAAGACUGCCCUAUGGGUUGUAAACUGCUUUUAUACGGGAAGAAACACCCCCUCGUGAGGGGGCUUGACGGUACCGUACGAAUAAGGAUCGGCUAACUCCGUGCCAGCAGCCGCGGUAAUACGGAGGAUCCAAGCGUUAUCCGGAAUCAUUGGGUUUAAAGGGUCCGUAGGCGGACGUCUAAGUCAGUGGUGAAAAUUCUGCAGCUCAACUGUAGAACUGCCAUUG